AGGACAGUCUAUAUGUGUUAUCUUUCCAACACUAUUAAAUGAACACAAAAGAGAUUAAUCAGAUAAUAACUUCCACCACAGAAGACUGUGAGACUUCCAAAGCUCAAAUGUCAGCAGUAUGGAGAUAAAGGGAAGCAGGCGGAGAUAAAUCAUCUUUCACAACAUCUUUUCUCAACAUCAAGCAAGCAUAGGUCUGGCAUCCAACAGCCCUCUUAAGAAGUGAGCAUGAAUGGUUACAAGAGGUUAGAGCCAUGUUAGUAAUGCUGGGAUUCUGUGAAGCUCCAGGUUUCAGAAUAACGGCAACCUAGAUGGAUGGUUCCUGUCAUCCAGCUUUCUUAAUCUCUUAUCUUUUGGGGAAGAAUAGCUAACGGGAACAUCAGAGCUGCUGUACUUGAUCAGAAAAGGAUCUAUCUAACAUACCAUCUGUCCCUGGCGGUUGUCUUAUAAAUUGUGAAACAUUAUCUGUUAAUAA